rnacentral:rRNA from 1 species
UGUAACAAAGGGUCCGUAGGUGAACCUGCGGAAGGAUCAUUGUCGAGACCGAAAAACUUGGAGCGAUCUUGAGAACCCGUUAAAAUAAGCGGUGGCUACUGCUGCCGAGAUAAAAUCCAUCCAGGACAUCGCCCCAUCCCCUCUUUGCGGUGAGGACUUGAUGAAGGAUGGAUGAAACCUCAAACCGGCGCAGCAUCGCGCCAAGGGAAAAUUGAAACACGAGCCCUAAAAUGGGUUUUUGGGCAUGGGGCGCUGUUGCUCGCUCCAUAUGGAUUGGCACGACUCUCGGCAAUGGAUAUCUCGGCUCUCGCAUCGAUGAAGAGCGCAGCGAAAUGCGAUACGUGGUGCGAAUUGCAGAAUCCCGCGAACCAUCGAGUAUUUGAACGCAAGUUGCGCCCGAGGCCAACCUGCCAAGGGCACGUCUGCCUGGGCGUCAAGCAUUUUGUUGCUCCGUGUCUAGUCGCCCAUCAAUGGAUGUGCCGGCGAAGGCUCGGAUGUGCACGGUGGCCCGUCGUGCCCUUCGGUGCGGCGGGCUUAAGAGCGGGUCGUCAUCUCGUUGGUUGCGAACAAUAAGGGGUGGAUUAAAUAGAGGCCUGUGCUAUUGUGUCGUGCAUGCCUAAGAGAUUAAAUUUUUUAGGUGAUCCCAAAUCACGCGUCGAUCCAUGGAUGAUGCUUUGAAUGCGACCCCAGGAUGGGCGAGGCCACCCGCCGAGUUUAAGCAUAUCAAUAAGCGGAGGAGAAAAAAACUUAC